AUUGAACGCUGGCGGCAGGCCUAACACAUGCAAGUCGAACGGUAACAGGAAGAAGCUUGCUUCUUUGCUGACGAGUGGCGGACGGGUGAGUAAUGUCUGGGAAACUGCCUGAUGGAGGGGGAUAACUACUGGAAACGGUAGCUAAUACCGCAUAACGUCGCAAGACCAAAGAGGGGGACCUUCGGGCCUCUUGCCAUCGGAUGUGCCCAGAUGGGAUUAGCUAGUAGGUGGGGUAACGGCUCACCUAGGCGACGAUCCCUAGCUGGUCUGAGAGGAUGACCAGCCACACUGGAACUGAGACACGGUCCAGACUCCUACGGGAGGCAGCAGUGGGGAAUAUUACACAAAGGGCGCAAGCCUGAUGCAGCCAUGCCGCGUGUAUGAAGAAGGCCUUCGGGUUGUAAAGUACUUUCAGCGGGGAGGAAGGGAGUAAAGUUAAUACCUUUGCUCAUUGACGUUACCCGCAGAAGAAGCACCGGCUAACUCCGUG
rnacentral:rRNA from 1 species